AACAUACUCCCUCCAUCCGGAAAUACUUGUCAUCAAAAUGGAUGAAAAUGAAUGUAUCUAGAACUAAAAUACAUCUAGAUACAUCCAUUUUAAUGACAAGUAUUUCCGGACAGAGGGAGUACUAA
rnacentral:pre_miRNA from 1 species